AAUAAUCAAAAAUAAUACUUGGGCUAAGGGUCAAGUUGGUAAUUUUUCUUACAUCCCCCCUCCUGGAAUUUUUGAA
rnacentral:sRNA from 1 species